UUUCCUAUAUGAAAAAAUAAUAUAUUAUUAUCAGUUCAAUGUGUAUUUUGUCAUUAGUUCAUACAGAACAACCAUAAAAAGUAUUUUGAUGUGUGUUAGAGAGAGCUCGACUUUAUAUUAUAUGGUAGCUCACUCAUUGCAUGAUUGCACAGCAGUUUGGCAACAAAAUUCACAUCAUUUUAGGGGCGCCCUCAUCACGGUCUCACUGUGCUACCGCAAUCUCUCCUUGAUACGCCACCGGACGAGCCACUUUGGCAAGCUGUCACUUCUUGCUCCUGUGCCUGGAUCCCAUGUGAGCGCACCUGGAAUCAGAUGGGAGGAGAACCGUCCAAAGUGAGAGUUUUGUGACGUCGAUGAGCGAGCCAGUCUAACCAGCACAUCUGAAGCAACAUAUGCAGAGCGAUUCGCCCAAAGCAUGCCGCCCUGCCCCACCAUGGCUGCUCGCAGGAGGUUCUCCAGCGGGCAUCCACCGGCAAGAUAGUCAGGUAUGCCUCCAUCUUCCACCUCCGCUACUCUCCUUUUGUGCAG